UGGUACUCUAAUCAAAAGCUAGAUAUUGUGAAUUUUACUUUGUUUGGUGCUGGAUAAUUUUGUACUUCUAUAAAUUUUCUACAGUUUGUUUUUAGUUACUUAGAAGUGGUUUGAUCAUUUUGGAUCUGGUGCAUUAUAAAAAUAAUUUGUCAGUAGCUUGGGAGCACUGCUUAGUCUAUAAUUAAUUUUCAGUUAUUGAGGCACUACCUUUCUGGGUACUCUACCCAGUGUCCUGUGAAUUAAGAAGUUUUGCAGUCUGAUUGGUCAGAACACAAACAUUUCUUGGCCCUAUGUGAAUGUUGGGCCCUAUUUAUUCUAAUUAUUUUGGACAGUGUUUUCCAGCCUUGGACAAUUUUCUCACACACUUGCAUUGAUCAGUACUCCACUGAAUGCCGAUAAGGGUGGGAUGUGAAGGUGGAAUGCGGCCCUCUACAGAGGACUAUGGACGUUUCUCUGCACAGGUAAACAGCCCUGGGACAAAGAACAGACUAUGGGUAUUGCCUUCUUAA
rnacentral:lncRNA from 1 species